rnacentral:rRNA from 1 species
UACGGAGGAUCCAAGCGUUAUCCGGAUUUAUUGGGUUUAAAGGGUGCGUAGGCGGCAGUUUAAGUCAGAGGUGAAAGACGGUAGCUCAACUAUCGCAGUGCCUUUGAUACUGAAUUGCUUGAAUAAACUAGAGGUAGGCGGAAUGAGACAAGUAGCGGUGAAAUGCAUAGAUAUGUCGCAGAACACCGAUUGCGAAGGCAGCUUACUAUGGUUUUAUUGACGCUGAGGCACGAAAGCGUGGGGAUCAAACAGG